GGGUUGUGAGGUUAAGCGACUAAGCGUACACGGUGGAUGCCCUGGCAGUCAGAGGCGAUGAAGGACGUGCUAAUCUGCGAAAAGCGUCGGUAAGGUGAUAUGAACCGUUAUAACCGGCGAUGUCCGAAUGGGGAAACCCAGUGCAAUUCGUUGCACUAUCGUUAACUGAAUACAUAGGUUAACGAGGCGAACCGGGGGAACUGAAACAUCUAAGUACCCCGAGGAAAAGAAAUCAACCGAGAUUCCCCCAGUAGCGGCGAGCGAACGGGGAGCAGCCCAGAGUCUGAAUCAGCUUGUGUGUUAGUGGAACGGUCUGGAAAGUCCGACGGUACAGGGUGAUAGUCCCGUACACCAAAAUGCACAGGUUGUGAACUCGAAGAGUAGGGCGGGACACGUGGUAUCCUGUCUGAAUAUGGGGGGACCAUCCUCCAAGGCUAAAUACUCCUGACUGACCGAUAGUGAACCAGUACCGUGAGGGAAAGGCGAAAAGAACCCCGGCGAGGGGAGUGAAAAAGAACCUGAAACCGUGUACGUACAAGCAGUGGGAGCACCUUCGGGUGUGACUGCGUACCUUUUGUAUAAUGGGUCAGCGACUUAUAUUCUGUAGCAAGGUUAACCGUAUAGGGGAGCCGCAGGGAAACCGAGUCUUAACUGGGCGUUAAGUUGCAGGGUAUAGACCCGAAACCCGGUGAUCUAGCCAUGGGCAGGUUGAAGGUUGGGUAACACUAACUGGAGGACCGAACCGACUAAUGUUGAAAAAUUAGCGGAUGACUUGUGGCUGGGGGUGAAAGGCCAAUCAAACCGGGAGAUAGCUGGUUCUCCCCGAAAGCUAUUUAGGUAGCGCCUCGUGAAUUCAUCUUCGGGGGUAGAGCACUGUUUCGGCUAGGGGGUCAUCCCGACUUACCAACCCGAUGCAAACUACGAAUACCGAAGAAUGUUAUCACGGGAGACACACGGCGGGUGCUAACGUCCGUCGUGAAGAGGGAAACAACCCAGACCGCCAGCUAAGGUCCCAAAGUCAUGGUUAAGUGGGAAACGAUGUGGGAAGGCACAGACAGCCAGGAUGUUGGCUUAGAAGCAGCCAUCAUUUAAAGAAAGCGUAAUAGCUCACUGGUCGAGUCGGCCUGCGCGGAAGAUGUAACGGGGCUAAACCAUGCACCGAAGCUGCGGCAGCGACACUAUGUGUUGUUGGGUAGGGGAGCGUUCUGUAAGCCUGCGAAGGUGUGCUGUGAGGCAUGCUGGAGGUAUCAGAAGUGCGAAUGCUGACAUAAGUAACGAUAAAGCGGGUGAAAAGCCCGCUCGCCGGAAGACCAAGGGUUCCUGUCCAACGUUAAUCGGGGCAGGGUGAGUCGACCCCUAAGGCGAGGCCGAAAGGCGUAGUCGAUGGGAAACAGGUUAAUAUUCCUGUACUUGGUGUUACUGCGAAGGGGGGACGGAGAAGGCUAUGUUAGCCGGGCGACGGUUGUCCCGGUUUAAGCAUGUAGGCUGAUUAUCCAGGCAAAUCCGGAUAAUCAAGGCUGAGGUGUGAUGACGAGGCACUACGGUGCUGAAGUAACAAAUGCCCUGCUUCCAGGAAAAGCCUCUAAGCAUCAGGUAACAUCAAAUCGUACCCCAAACCGACACAGGUGGUCAGGUAGAGAAUACCAAGGCGCUUGAGAGAACUCGGGUGAAGGAACUAGGCAAAAUGGUGCCGUAACUUCGGGAGAAGGCACGCUGGUGUGUAGGUGAAGCCCCUGCGGGUGGAGCUGAGACCAGUCGAAGAUACCAGCUGGCUGCAACUGUUUAUUAAAAACACAGCACUGUGCAAACACGAAAGUGGACGUAUACGGUGUGACGCCUGCCCGGUGCCGGAAGGUUAAUUGAUGGGGUUAUCCGUAAGGAGAAGCUCUUGAUCGAAGCCCCGGUAAACGGCGGCCGUAACUAUAACGGUCCUAAGGUAGCGAAAUUCCUUGUCGGGUAAGUUCCGACCUGCACGAAUGGCGUAAUGAUGGCCAGGCUGUCUCCACCCGAGACUCAGUGAAAUUGAACUCGCUGUGAAGAUGCAGUGUACCCGCGGCAAGACGGAAAGACCCCGUGAACCUUUACUAUAGCUUGACACUGAACAUUGAGCCUUGAUGUGUAG
rnacentral:rRNA from 1 species